rnacentral:rRNA from 1 species
UACGGGGGGUGCGAGCGUUGUCCGGAAUCACUGGGCGUAAAGGGCGCGUAGGUGGUUUGAUAAGGGUGUGGUGAAAGCCCGGGGCUCAACCCCGGGUCUGCCGUGCCGACUGUCAAACUCGAGGGCUGUAGAGGCAGACGGAAUUCCUGGUGUAGCGGUGAAAUGCGUAGAUAUCAGGAGGAACACCGGUGGUGUAAACGGCUUUCUGGACCAUAACUGACGCUGAGGCACGAAAGCGUGGGUAGCAAACAGG